UCGGCAGAACAUACGAGUAUAAUAAAAUUGGAAUGACAUAGAGAAGAUUAGCAUGGCCCUUGCGCAAGGAUGACACAGUGUUAGUAGUAGGGAAUACCUAUGACACUUUU